rnacentral:tRNA from 1 species
AACGACAUAGUUUAAGUACAGAUGAUUGCUUUGCGUGUGAUAGGUGAUGUUUGUUUCUUCUGUUGUUG